rnacentral:lncRNA from 10 species
CUGGGUAAUUCAUCACUGUCUCACUCGCUCUUGGUACACACAUUGGGAAUGGAAGGGCCAGUUGAUACAAUCACCCUGUCCACCUUCCCAAACACAUUCUAAUAAAAAAAGAGCCCUAAGUCCAGUUUCUCUGAGAUUUGAGAGGGUGGUUAUUCCAAUUUUACAUUCAGUACUGCUGAAGAGUCAGUUCCUAGAGACUCUUGCUCCUUAAGGAGUCUCUUUCUUUAGUAGAAUCAUACCCUUUGCCUUAGUUUUGGUAAUUUUCAAUGUUGUUUAGGUUGAGCCUUUGAACAUCGUGACCAGAUGGUCAUCUGUUGGCAGUUUCCAUAGCAUUCGUUCAGUGGGCACAAAUCUUGAAGGCUACUUGAAGAAAGAGGAUGAAGUUCAGAUGGUUCACACACCUCCAGAAACCUCUUUCAACUGUGAACAAUCUUGACUUGCUGUGGUUUCUGUACAUGUAGUAAAGCAUGUUGAAGGAAUGGAUGCCUUGACUUCAUUGAUACCUGGAAUGGACGGAAUUAUAUCCCCUCAAAAUUGGCCCUGCGCCGUCUGGCACAGCCCCAGCCUCUUUGUGUGGAUAUCUGGCUCUCAUUGCUGCAGAGAAGUGAUGUCAGGAGGCUCUGACUCAGGACUCAUGACAGAAAGGUUCACUGGCUGUUCACCCAGCCUAUUCCCUCUUCUUCCUGAGAACACAGCUACACCUCAUUUGCCAACCUCCCUUCCAGUAUGGCAUAAGGUGUGAAUGACCUCUGGCCAAGGAAAUUACAGUAGAGAUGACGUGCAUUGCUUCUUAGUCUGGUCUUUGGAAACCUCCCUCCACACACGCCCCCCAUGUUCUUUUCUGGUUCUGGCUGCUGGAAUGGAGCUGAGCCCCUGAGCGAUCUUAGAAGCAUGUGCUGUGUGAGGAGCCUGGGUCCCUGAAUCACCACUUGGAGCUGAGUCACCUGACCAAGAACGCCUGCAUUGUCAGUUUUAUGAGUGAAAAAUAAACUUUGUUAUGUAGACACUAAAAUUUGAAGAUAUAUUCAGGACCGAGAUUAGGAUAAGACAAAUGCGGUACUUACUUGCUUUAGGUGCAAAAUGGAAGGCAAACACCAAAACAACAACAACAACAACAACAACAACAAAACAGAUAUAAAGAUAAACAAGAUGCGAUAUUUUUUAAAAAUUCAAAUCAGGCCCGGCGCAGUGGCUCACGCCUGUAAUCCCAGCACUUUGGGAGGCCAAGGCGGGCAGAUCUCGAUGUCCGAAGAUCGAGACCAUCCUGGCUAGCAGAGUGAAACCCCGUCUCUACGAAAAAUACAAAAAUUAGCCGGGCAUGGUGGCAGGUGCCUGUAGCCCCAGCUACUGGGGAGGCUGAGGCAGGAGAAUGGCAUGAACCCGGG